UUCCCCAGGCAGCGGUUGUUUCCACGGUUUAACGCUGUGGUUGGCAGCCUCGAGAGAUAGAUGUUCUCCUGUCCGCCGGCACUGCUGGCGCUUGGGCAGCACCUGCACUGCUCCCACAGAGCAUUGCCGCCGUCCUUUCCCUCUUCGUCUGCCCUCGGGAUCUUCCCAUGCCUGUCGCUUUUCCCAUGACGGGCCAGCCGCUGCCCUCCCUGCGCCCCCAGUGCCAGGGCCUGGUGGGGCAGCGUGUGUCACACUGUCGUGGUUUGACACUGUGGGUGCCGAGUGCCGGGCACCCACGAGAGCCGCUGACUCACCGUCCUCUGCUACGGCUGGGCAAAGGACAGAAAAAUUGAACGUAGGCUUGGUGAGUUGAGAUAAGGACCAGGAGAAAAUGUUCCAAGGGCAAAACAGGCUUAACUUAAGAGAUACAAAGUGAGUUUAUUACUAACAAAAUCAGAGUAGGAUAAUGAGAAGUAAAAUAAGCCUUUAAAAAUAAGAGCAGGGAGGCAGGGCACAGGAGUUUUGGUCAGUUCACCCGAGGUUUUCUGCUGCUGCUCAGGGAGAGAAGCCCUUCCCCUGUCAGGCCGUGGGGUCCCUUCCCAAGGCUCCAAAUCUCAGGAGCAGCAGUCCUCCCAAAACUGCUGUGCGUGGGUCACUCUUCCAUGGGGUGCGCUCCUCCAAGGACAGGCUGCUCCAGCCUGGAAUCAGGGCCCCCUCUCUCCAGUGGGUCUUCCUCAGCCUCCUCCAGGCAUCCAACUGCUCUGGCAUUGGCAUCUCCCCCACGGGCUGCGGGUGGAUCUCAGCAUCCCCCGUGGAUCCCCAUGGCUGCAGGGGCACAGCUGCUUCACCACGGUCUCACCACGGCCUGCAGGGGAAUCCCAGCUCCAGUGCCUGGAGCAGCUCCUCCUCUACCUUCUCCACUGACCCUGGUGCCUCACAUGUUCUCCCCUCCUCCUUUUCUCUGACUAGAACUAGAAUUAAAACUGCACCCCCUACUUUUGUGUUAAUAUCUUCUUAAGUAUGUUAUCACAGGGGCAUUACCAUCAUCUCUAGUUGGCUCAGCCUUGGCUUUGUGUGUCCAUCUUCAGUGCCAUCAGCCAUUGGCUCUGCCAGACAUGGUGGAAGGUUCUAGAAGCUUCUCACAGAAGCCAUCUCCAUGCCCCCUGCUGCUACCAAAGACCAGGCCAUGCAAAACCAACACACACACGAAUGUUGGGAAUAGCCAUAUCCAGAGACAAUGUCAGCCUGCAUUUUUACAGGCAAGGGUGACUCCUCUUUGUGUGUUUGGCAGAUUCUGAACUGGUCAGUCCAUUUCCAGAAUAUUGCUGUAUGACCUGAGACAGCAGAUCACUAGAAGAAAGGCUUGCCUCCAAACCUUUUGUUUCAGAAAUAACACCAAUAGUCAAGAUUUUCUUUCAGAAGUUUAGUCCGUACUGUCUCCACCUUGCCAGCAGCCAUCCCUUUGAGACAAUCCCAGACAAUCCCCAAAUUCUGUAAGACUUCAGGGGGCCAUGGCUACUUUCUCCAGCACAGAUGACUGGUUCAACUUUUUGAAGUUAUAUUUUUCAAUCAGCUUCCAUAAACUAAGAACUUGCUCUUCUUCAUGCACUGUGUAAAUCACAAGGGCAUGGCCUCUUGUGAUUCCCACAUUGUUUUGUAAUGCUUGAUCAGUCAAGAAGUGUAGUCUUAAAGAGAAAGAAUGUUGAGAAAGAUCACAAAUAUACCCAAGGCACACUUAGAGCCAAGCUGGAAUUUCUGUCCAGUCACAAGAAUCAGCAGAUUUGGGAAGUGAGCAGCCAGUAGUACCUCUGUGUUACACCCAGUUGGUGCUGCUGUCUUCCUUGAAACACCAAAUAAUGACAAGGGAAAGAAAGAUUUGGAGUCUAUCCAAUUCCUUGAAGAAAAAGUCUUUAACUUUGAAGCCAGAAAGGAAAGUGAAAGAAGUGUUUCAGAGACCAGCUUUCUCCAGAGAUUUUGCAAUCCAGUGGGCUGCAUAUGCUGUAGAACUGUCAACUUGGGAGGGAUCUUUUCCAGAGAAUGCACCUCCACCAUGGACUCCCCAGCCUCUGUACCUGUCAAGAAUUA